rnacentral:sRNA from 1 species
UUUUUUUUAUGUUUUUUUUAGCAAAAACGGCUUUUUCUUCUU